rnacentral:misc_RNA from 1 species
AUGUGCGAUGUGUGCGCCGACUUUCACGACCUUCUGCUCUCUUACGAGGAACGCGCCUCCAAGGAGCAAAAUGAGUUGGCCGCCCUCUUCGUAGUAGAUGUGGAGACGAUACUUCACUAUGUUAAUCAGUGGGUACAAAGGCAAUGUAUGUGCUGCUAUCGGGAGGUUAAGAACUUCGACCGAUUUAUAAGACUGACACAAAGUAUCGUUCUUUGCACGUUGCAACAACUUCAAGCCAUACAUCAAAAUGGCCAAUGUGUCGAAGAUGAAACCGACACGGCUAACGAGCACCGGCAUGAAAAGGAGAAAACGGAAAAAGAAAAGUUGAUGAAUGUAAAUCAUGUAAUUCCUGAAUCUUGGAGGAAGUAUACAUGGUCUCAACAGGAUAGAGAAAAAUUGUUUCACCUCCUAUCCAAGAUUUUUUUAUUGAACUUUCCAUUAUACAUUGCAAUGAAGCAUGGUGGAGUAAUAAAUCCUUUAGCUCCGAUCAAGGAUGAAGGUGGUUACUGCGAACCUCAUGAUCCAGAGGUGCCGGCACCUAUGAUCCGUGCAGUUUCAAUAUUUUGUCAUCAAGGUGGUUUCGAUUUGAUGUCCGCAUGCUUCGAUAUGAAAGAACCCCUACCUGUUGGUCUAGCUCAUUCUAUAGUUGCUGUCAUAUGUAAUUUGAAACUAUGGUUGAAUUAUGGUAGCGUCAUCCAGUUAUUUGUACCUCUGCGUAGUCGUGUUAUGAAAUAUAUGUGUCGUCUUGGGGAUAAAGAACUCCGUACCCCAGCUGUGAGAACUAUGGCAGAUUUUAUGUGGAGUGCUGCAAAGGAUCCAAUAGACGCAGUACUCCCAACGUUCGAUCGAGAUGGAUUAGAUUUGGCAUUUAAAUAUUUUACCAGUACGACAUUGACGAUGCGACUGGCAGGCAUAGCUCAAAUAAAUGCGCACAUCACGGCAUUCAACGAGCUGUGUAACAGUGAGACUGUAGCAGAAAUUGAGCAGGUCGGCCAUGCAUUAGCGGCGUGGCUCACAGAGAAUAACAUCAUCGCUCAUAUAUUUGGACCAAAUUUACACGUAGAAGUAAUUAAACAAAGCCACAUAGUACUAAGUUUCCUUGCAAUGGAGGGUAGAAUCUCGUCUUCGGACAUGGACACAAUGUGGCAGGCAGCACAGUUGAAGCAUUGCGGUCGCCCUGUGUACGAUUUGCUUGCCCCUUUAGUGAAACACUUGGCACCCACUCCUGUACUCCACUUGUAUUCGUUGCUGGGUAAGCUCGAACCCAAGGAUCAUACGGAACAAAGUCUAUUUUUGGCAUCCGCUUUGAUAAAAUUUAUUUGGACCUCGGGUGGCUCGGGAUAUCCGAGAGGAUUGUCCGCAAAAGGUAGAGAAGCUUUAAAAAAUUCCGGAGAAAUGGGAGGUACCAGUAGCAGCGAUCCAAGUGGGAUGGACGGAAGUAGCCCCGAAGAGGACGAAGAGGAACCUAGUCCGGCACCAUCCGAAGGGCCAUCGCCAAGAAAGCAGGCACGUGGUGACAGCAGCGAUUGCGAGGUUAACUUCAAAAUGAAGGGCUUGGAAAGUACAUCUCCUGGAGCUAAUUUUGUAAAAGUAGAGGAGCUGCCUCUGGCUAACGUGGAUCAAAAUUCCGACAUGUCGAAGAGUUCGGCCUUGAAGGGUGCGACCGAGGGAGUGACUAUUACCGAGGAAAAGUUCGAUGGUACGUGCGUCGCAAAAGACAAGCAAAGUGGCACCGACGCCGAGGCAGACACCGAAAAGUCGAAUACCGAAGAAACCGUGACGCAGGAGAAAAAGAAGAGGAAAGUUUUUCGAAAAAGAAAGAAGCCGCAGAAACGCUCCGCCUUUUCCGAGAAGGCACUGGAUUAUAUCGUGAGGGACGAAUCCAAUCGACCGUUACGGAAAGAUUUACCAUCCGGUAAAGUUGACAAUGCCUUCGAGCCCGUGAUGCUGAAUACUGCCGGUGGACAGAGAAGUCCCACGGACAAGAUAUUCGCUUUGGCGGACGUUUCGGCGUGCGAGCUGGAGACACCGACGUUCGAAAAUACAACACCGGAGUCUCAGUUGACAUUAGCGGACGACAAAGAAGUUAUUUUGACCCAAGUAUCGGAUAGCAGCCUGGAACCGGAUGAAGUCAGCACGGCGCUAGACGUCCGGAGGACGUUGAAAAUAAAGAAAUUAUUAUUUAAUAGCAUGAAUAGAUUAGCAGGCACUUCGGAGAGUACUCUGGAGACUGCCGCGUUUAGUAGAUCAUUGGACCGCCAGCGAGGUGCAAAAAUGAUGGACUUACCUAUCGACAAUAUGACAAGAUUGGCCGACGUGUCGGAGAGGGUCAUGGAGCCUGCGGUACUCAACAUGAUGCUGGAGGUACAGCAAACCCCAAAGAACGUAGGGCUGUCCAUCGACAAGAUGAGUAUACUGGCAGAUGUGUCGAACAGCAGAUUGGAGCCGAGAAUAUUCAGCGCUGCUCUGGAGGCCCAACAUGCUCGAAAGAGUGCGGAGUUACCUGUUGGCAAGUCAAACAUCUUGGCAGAGGUAUCGGACAGCAGCCUCGAACCGGCUGUACUGAAUACAACCGCGAACUCGGAGUACAGUCGAAAGGAACGCGAUAAAUCUAGGUUGGAUAACAUUUCAGAGAGUACUCUGGAGUCGGUUGGACUCAACGUGGCGCAGAAAUCCACGAAGAGAAUGGACCUUCCGAUGGAUAAGGCGAGUCGACUGGCCCUCGCUUCGGAGCCGGGGACGUCUCUGGAAGACCGCGGCGCGGAGACAACCGACGAAGCAACUCUCGAGUCACAGAAGGGUGCCGAGACCCUCGACAGGGUGAAACAUCAGGCCAUGGAGAUGGAGCCUAGCGAUCAGGAAGUACCCACCACUGCGGCACUGUUAAGGGGAGUAAAUAAAGCCAGCAAGUACGUAUCACUGGUAGGACAUAGCGUAGACAGAGUGCCUAAUUCCGCGGAUAGUUCCCACGACGAGGACGACAGCGACGUGACGGGCAUUGUCGGUCCAUCGGGAGGAACGGGGACCGUCAUGUCCGAGCUGACCGGGUUGGUACACGCGACGGGUCCCCGAUUUCUACCUUCGGGACUUGACGACAUGCUGUCGGAUGAAGAAGGGUCUUACAGCAGUAGAAUAUCGAACAAGAGCGAGAAGAAUAUGGCGGACUUCGACGGGGAGGAGAGUGGCUGCGAGGAGGAGCUGGCACAACUGGCUGCGAGGCAUCUAACGGCGAUUCAGAUGCAGGCCUAUCACCCACACAAUUCUCAUCCAACGAUGACCAUCGGCAGAUCCGUCUGCAGAGCCCCUCAAGUGCGGACCAUACGGCAAACGGUGGCGAGGCUCAGUUCCCAGUUUAACCUGGAGACAGUUUGUAAGCCAGGUAAUACCCUUUUGUGGGAUCUCCUCCAGGACGACAAGAUCGGCCAGCUUGGCGAGGGCUUGGCCCUGGAAGCCGAAAAGGCCCUCUGCAACUUGCUUUGCUUCAACGUCGAGAGGCUGAUACCCAUGAAGUUUAUCGAGGGGUGCCUGGAAAAUCUGGCAGCGAAUCGCUCCGUAGUGGUGUCGCUUCGACUACUUCCAAAAUUACUGGCCAGUUUCCAGCAGUUCGGUACGAUGGAUGCCCACGCAAUUACGACCUGGGCCGACCGAGAGAGGAACAUGAUGAAGCAUUUCUUCAAUAAUCUGAAGACCUAUGCGGCCACCGGACCGAAGACGAACCUGUACUCGCAUCAAACGGAGGUUCAAGUCAGAUUGCAAUUCCUCUCUUCGAUUUUCUCCCCUCUGGGCUCACCGGAUUGUUUCAGGCUGAGUCUGGAGCAAGUAGACAUACUCUGGCAGUGCCUGUCUCAAGACAGCACCUGCGCCGAUGAGCUCUUCAGCUGGUUAUUGAGUCAAGCCAAGUCCACGGAACAACACGCGCUGGGUAUGGACACCCUGAAGCACCUGUGCAUGCGCAAGCUCCCCAGCCUCCCCCCGGAAGCCGUAAGCAUGACAGGCCUCAGUCUCUUUCAACAACUCUGCAACCUGGCGAGAUUAGCUGCAGCUCAUCUGGACAGGCCUCUGCGAGACGUGGACUCGGUCGGCAUGGACUUCCUCUGGCGGAUAGCUUUGAAGGCGAAGAGCACGGACGUUAGCAUGGCGGCGAUACAGUAUCUGAACGGCUAUUACAUGUCGCGGCAAUUAACGCAAGAAGCCGAAUUCGUGUCCCAGUGUAUGACUCACCUGGCUGCGGCCAGCGCAGACCUGGAGAUUAACGAGGAGGCCAGUCUGCGGUGCAUCCAGCGAGCUUUGCUUUUGCUGAGGACUCACCUGGAGGCAUUCAGGAAGCGAUACGCUUACCACUUGAGGCGCUGGGCAUUGGAAGGUCGUGGGACCGACAGUCACAUCGCCAUGAGCGGCUCCGAGAGGGGCCAGCAACUAAGAAUCUACGUCCAGCCGGCAGGUAUUCCCGACAAGACUAGUUUCACCCUGCUGAGUACAGACUACGUAGCCGACUUGAGAGCGGAGGUAGCCAAGUGGUGGGAUGAUAUGCAGAACGAGCAGGAAAAGAAUCCGUCGUCCUCGGUGACGUCGGCCUCGGUCAACAACGGAGGCUCGGUGCUAGGUUCUCUCCUCAGCGACGGUCCGAUUAGAAUGAUAACGCAGGGGCAAGAGCUGACCAUUGACUUCGACGAGAAGACCCUUCAAGAGAUGGGCUUCAAGGACGGCCAGCUGGUGUUCAUCUCCCUAGGCGCGGGUAGGGGUACGGGGAGCGGAAGGUCCGGGAAAAGGGACUUGGAGUCGCCGUCUUUGCUGCCUCCACCGUCUAGAGAUUCCUUGCCGACUCUUCUUCUGCUAAGGCCUCAGUACUUCGAGCAGCUGUUCACCUUGAUGAGGACCCUGAGCGCCAUGAAGACGACCGUUAAAGGCGGUCAGGAGAUACCCCACACGAAGGCCCAAGUGCUGUCCAGGAGGGUCUGGGACACCUUGACUCUGCUUCCCACCAGCCCGACCCUCUUGCGAGGCUUCCAGAAGCUGGAGGAGGCUUCGCUUCCCGAACUGCUGGACCCCGCCAGUCCGCAGAAGCUGAUGUAUUCCCUGUAUAUCGUCGAGUCUUUAAGCAAACGAGGACCCCCGUCUAGACCCGCACCCACCAGUUCCAGCACAGCAACCCCCGUCCACGAAGGAGGUGGUGGCGACGCCGACGAUAAUCAAGACGACAGGGAAAAGGAGACCAGCUGGUCCACGCAGUUCGUCCAACACGGAGGACUCAGGCAUUUGUUCGACAUCUUCAUGUCCGGGUGUCUUGAGCGAGGGGACGGCAGCGAGUGGCAACAGGAUUGCCUCGCCAGUCUGCUGAAACAACUGUGUCAUUUGGGCGUCGUCAGAGAGGAGAGGAAAAGAGGCAAGCCGGACAAGCUGCUGGUGCCCAGACUGAGCGAGGCGAUGUUGGCGAUGAUGGACAUGGAGACGGUGAUGCCCAGACUGACCAACAUCCUGAUAGAAGCUUCCCUGCCUAGGGACCCUAAUCACUAUAAGACCGGCCUCUUUGGGAGGUCCCAGGUGAUCCAUUACGCGAUGGCGUUGCUGGUCUGCUGGGUUCACAGCGACCUCGGGGUCCGGCACUCCUUGUUCUCGUCGACCGAACCCUUCGGGAAGACCUGGCUUCGCCGGCUCGUCCUGGAGGAUCCUGAGCCCGCCGUGAGGAGAGAGGUUUGUACCGCCUUGUACAGACUCUGCUUAGGAAUCACCGGCACCGAGGACGAAAAUGCCGACACGUCCAACUUGAUCGUUCCUAUCCUGAACACUCUGUUGGAGCAUCUCGCGAUCGCCGAGACCAUGCUGCCUUCUCCUCGUAAGCCGGACCUUCCUCUGCAUCUGCACCCUGUCCUGGACGACGGCAAGGAGCCUUACGGACCGGCGUGUCGGGACUACUUCUGGCUGGUCUGUCGCCUGGUGGACUCUUUGCCCGACGACGUCAUUCGGGAAGAGGGCUCCGACGAAUCCUCGGGUGCUAUCAUAGACCUUGAAGCAUUGGCACACAGAGCCAUUGAUUCCGCCUUGAGCAGGGAACACCUGGAGACCAGACACAAUACGGUCGAGGACGACGGCCUCGUCGGCUUGCUGAACCUGAUCUGCAACAUCAUGACUCAUAAUCCUUCCUGCAAGCAGGACAAGAUCGGGCAGAACCUGCUCUGCGAGGUCUUUGACUUCUUGUUCGCCCUGCCGAGUCCGAAGACGAAGCACGUGCCGAAGUGCAAGAGCCAGGCGUCCAGGUCGGCUGCAUUCGAUUUAUUGGUGGAGCUGGUUAAAGCCGCGCCCAAUAAUUACAAGAUCUUGCACGAGAAGCUGUUGGCUCAGCACAGGCCUGGAAGACACUCACCGUAUCCUUGGGAUUACUGGCCUCACGAGGACGGACGUUCCGACUGCGGAUACGUUGGCUUGACGAACCUUGGGGCCACCUGCUACAUGGCUAGCUGUAUGCAACACCUGUACAUGAUGCCACAGGCUCGGGUCUCGAUUCUCGGUGCCGACUGUAACCGAGCGAACAAGCACCAGCUGACUCUGCGGGAGUUGCAGAGGAUGUUCGCGUACCUCCUGGAGUCAGAGAGGAAGGCGUACAACCCGCGCAGCUUCUGCAGGGUCUACACAAUGAACCACGAGCCUCUCAACACUGGCGAGCAAAAGGACAUGGCCGAGUUCUUCAUCGACCUGGUCUCCAAGCUCGAGGAGAUGACCUCCGACCUGAAGAACCUGGUGAAGACGCUCUUUUGCGGGGUGAUAUCCAACAACGUCGUGUCCUUGGAUUGCGAGCACGUCAGCAGGACUCUGGAGGAGUUCUACACGGUGCGCUGUCAGGUGGCCGACAUGAGGAACCUUUACGAGAGCCUCGACGAAGUGACCGUCAAGGACACUCUCGAGGGUGACAAUAUGUACACCUGCUCCCAGUGCGGGAAGAAGGCCCGCGCCGAGAAGAGGGCCUGCUUCAAGAAACUCCCUCACAUCUUGUGCUUCAAUACCAUGAGGUACACCUUCAACAUGGGCACUAUGCUGAAGGAGAAGGUCAAUACGCACUUCAGUUUCCCCCUGAGGCUCGACAUGUCGGGGUACGUCGAGAAGAAGCUGAUGCCCCAGCAGUAUCAGGACGAGAAGAAGAAAGCCCUGGAGAAGAGAAGCGAGGCCGAGGGCUCGGGAGACUUUGGCCUCGACGAGGAGGAGAUGGAGCACUACCUCUACGACCUGAUCGGCGUCACCGUCCACACCGGGACCGCCGACGGGGGUCACUAUUACAGCUUCAUCCGGGACCGCACGUCCCUCAACAAGGACAAGUGGUUCCUCUUCAACGACGCCGAGGUCAAGCCCUUCGACCCGAACCAGAUCGCCGCGGAGUGCUUCGGUGGAGAAAUGACGAGCAAGACCUACGACUCGGUCACCGACAAGUUCAUGGACUUCAGCUUCGAGAAGACGAACUCGGCCUACAUGCUCUUCUACGAGUGGUGCACCGAUCCCGUCGAUCCUUCCAAGGACGAGGAGGCCACCGUCUCGAGUCCUCGCGCCCCGGACACUCCUACGUCCUCUCAACAGCAAUGCAACCCGAGGACCGACAAGCCCCUGCCCCUCGAGCUCAACAAGGAGCUCGAGGACUGGAUCUGGCAGGACAACAUGCACUUCCUGCAGGACAAAAAUAUUUUCGAGCACACCUACUUCAGCUUCAUGUGGCAGAUCUGCGGUUACAUACCUCACACCAUGCAGCCGGACAUCACGGAGAUGUCGGCCGAGCUUUCGACGUCCUUCUUCAUGGAGACGUUCAUCCACGCCAAGGAGAAGCCCACCAUGGUCCAGUGGGUCGAGCUGCUGACGAAACAGUUCAACGGAUCCGCGGGAGCCUGCGCCAGGUUUCUCGAGAGGAUGGCGGCCGAUUCCUGGUGGCCUAUCCAGAUCCUGGUCAAGUGUCCCAAUCAGAUGGUCAGACAAAUGUUCCAGAGGCUAUGUAUCCACGUUAUUCAGAGACUGAGGGCCACCCAGGCACCUCUGUACCUUGCCUGCGACCCCGACAGCGACCCCACCACCGUUGGUACCAGGUCCUGUGUCACCAGAUACGUUCGGAUGCUGCUCUCCCUCAUGGAGCACGCCAAGCAACACCUUAAACACCUCACGGAGUACUUCAGCUUUCUCUACGAGUUCAGCAAGAUGGGGGAGGAGGAGACGCUCUUCCUGAUCCAGGUGCAGGCGAUCUCCACGAUGGUGAAUUUUUACCUUGGACAUAAGACCCACGAGUACGUCGAUGCGGUCAGCGAGGAGGAAGAGGAAGAGGAGGUCGUCACACUGGCCGCGGAGAAGCUGAGGCCCGCCUCGCUUGAUAAGAUGAUAACGCUCAUUGCUACCUUGGUGGAACGUAGCAGAGGACCCGAUCACAGGCUAACGCUGUCGCCGGCAGACUUGAACGCCGUUGCUGGCGGAAAAGGCUUCCCAUUCCUGUACCAACAGACUAGGGACACCAUCAAUUUGAACCAGACUCGCAACUUGAUACAGUCGCUCUGUCGCUGGAACGACCGACUGGCGAUACACAUCGUUACGAUGAUAUUCCAGGCGAUAACGAAGCACACGGACGUCUGUCAGCCGUUCUUUAAAUUGUUGACGCUUUUGACGGAGGGCUCUGGGCCCAGUGGACUGCCUUGCAUGACCCAGCUGAUCUUGGGUAGAGUCUGGGAAGCUGCGAGGGUCGCACCUCACGGAGCCCUCGAAUGGCUCGCCCUUGCUGUCACUAGGAGCAAGCUGGCUCAUGCCUGGGUACUCCAAGGACUGGACACGUGGCUGCAACAUUUCCUUUUGGAGCAUACCAACCAAAGGGUGCGAUCCGCCGCUGCUUUUCUUCUGGUCUCUCUGGUUCCGUCUACGCAAUUCCGCCAGGGGUACAGAAACGCUCACCGGCUAGGAUUGGGAUGCAACCCCACGAGGGAGUUGCAGCUCUCGUCCGAGGCCACUUUGAUCCUCCACCAGAUCUACACCGCUCUUCUGAGACUUCUGCAACCUGCCAGGCACUAUAUCGACAUUCAGACUCAUGGGACGAUGAAACUUACCGCGUACUUUGCACUUCUUACGUACUGUGUUGUUUCGAAGACUGAAAAGUUGAUGUUCGGACAAUAUUUAAACGAUCUGUGGACCCUGUUUCAUCCGAAACUAUCGGAGCCGAGUAUCCCGGUCCAUCAUAAUAAGCAAGCUGUUCUGCUUUUCUGGUACCACGUCUGCUCCGACUGUCCAGAGAAUGUCGCCACGAUACUGCACAAUCCGCACAUCACCAAGAACAUUGCAUUUAAUUAUAUACUAGCCGAUCACGAGGAUCAGGAUGUCGUUUUAUUUAAUAGGGUAAUGUUGCCCGCCUAUUACGGGCUUCUAAGGCUAUGUUGUCAGCAGUCCCGAGGGUUCACGAGACAACUGGCUGCGCAUCAAAAUAUCCAGUGGGCCUUUAAAAAUAUCACCCCGCACCCCACGCAGUACUCGACGGCGGUCGACGAGUUGUUCAAGUUGAUGCAAUUGCUGGUCGCGAGGCACCCGGAUCAAACCGAGCAGGAGGAAGCGGAAAUCGCGUCCUUCCGAAGAGGAACUCUAUCCUCGUACCUGCAAGGUUUAGACGGUCGUUCCUGUUGGGCGACCUUAAUUUCGGCCUUCAGAAUCCUAAUAGAGUCCGACGACGAUCGGCUCUACGUGGUUUAUAAUGGAGGCCUGAGCAUGGCCUUGGAGGCAUUUCACAUGCUGCACGUAAUGUACCACGAGGCAACGGCCUGCCACGUGGCGGGCGACCUGGCGGAGCUGAUAGCCAUAAUCGUCGAGCUGGUCCGCUGCAUCAGGACUGCCCGGGACGGGCCGGACGCGAGGAGCAUCCUUGCGAAUUGCAAAGAGUGGCCGGACGUUCUCCGGAAACUGGCCACUCUUUUGAACACGUACAAUCCGCCGGAUAUGCGGAACCUCGCGAUAGACUUAUUGAAGGAGCUGGUGAUGCUGGUCCCCGCCGAGGCGAUCCUGAUCUUGGCUCCCUUGCUCUCGCACUGCCACGCCGCCUUGCAGGAGUCGCAUGCGGCUGUUCCCCCGGGACCGUAUUUGCCGAGGAGGACCGCGCCGGGAAAAAUGGCCUCCAGGCCAGCUAGGCCGAUGGUGCAGAUGGCGGUUCCGCAUUCUCAGCUCGAGGCAUCGAAGGGCGUCGAUCCGGAAUACGACAGUGCCCUGCUCGAGUUCUAUUUGCCUUAUCAUGAACUGAUCGACGUCAUGUGCAGGCUGGCUAUCAACAACGACUGCAUGACGGAUACGCUGGUUAAUUUGAGCGCCAUGCUAGGAUUCGAGGGAGUGCCCUUGCACUUGGCGCUAUUUCCGAGACUCUGGCUGGACGUCCACGCGGCAACCCACAUCGACAGGAAGCACAUAGCCGCCCUUUUGUGCUCGUCGUAUACGGUAGACUACGUGGACGCGGUGCUCCUGGACGAGAGGUCGUCGUUGGGGGUGCCGGCGAUACACGCCUUCUUGAAGACGUUCUUCCCGAAGCUGGCGAGCCACGUGCUGACCGAGCAGACCUGCUCGCUGAUCGACAACCUGGUGAGCUCGCUGACGGCGAUGGUCGAGGCGGUCGAUCCGCAGGCCUCGGCGCACAGGUUAACGGGAGACCUGCGCGCUCUGGCUCUCGUCUACAGCAGCGGCACCAGGCUCAAUCCUCCGGUCAGCCUGCAGUCGGCUCUGGAGACGUUGCUCUCGCGAACCAAGGCCGCCAGGAUGAAGGAGGCGAGCCAACGGGAGGCCGGAGCGCCCUCGAAGAAGCGGAAGUUCAACCCCGGCGAGGAGGGCGAACGCGAGGGGAAGAAGGUCCCUCCGGAGACGGAGGAGACCGACGAGCGGAAGCGGUUCUCGUUGAUGGACGUCGAGAGCAAGGCCAGGACCGGGAAGAAGGACGACGCCAAGUCCGUCGACUCCGGCGAGGACGAGGCCGAGGACGAGGCCAAGACGACUGCCGGGAACUCGUCCGCGAUACCUCCUAACCCGAUCACCGCCUCCACGGCCAGCGGACGCCCCGACGACCAGCUCCGCUGCACCCUGACCAACGUCUCUUGGCUCGAGAUGCUGGAGAAGACCAUCGUCAACCUGCAGAUGAUAGUGCAAUUGCAAAUCAAGAAUAAUUAAGGGACCUCCCGAACCCUGAACGGCGAUUAUAGACCCCUUCAAGCCCCGGUCGACCCUGGGAACGCGGUUCGACUUGGAGUGCUCGCGGUCGCAUCGGCUCUCGUCGACCACCACCGGCUGGAGCUUACUUAAACGGAAACGCGUUUCGGCCGAUCAUUUCGAAUGGUUCUUGGUCGACCGAUUCGCAAUUGGAAAGUAGGUAGUCCGACGCUCGGCAGGCCUCUACCUUACCGACGCCGGUCUGGCAGGCUACUCGGUGUUCACGUCGAGAAAUGGCGAUGAAAACUCUCCGGAGAAGCUGCGCUGGAGGGCCUCCAAUCUUGCCGGCAACUCCAAGACGUACCACAACGAGAUACCGAAGGCUCGGCGUAGCCAACGCUCGCCGCUUGGCCGUUAGUCGUAAAUUUUUUCAAUAUUAUGCCCGCGUAGAUGCGUCGAGGGGGGGCAGCUCUCGGCGAUUGUGUAAAAAGUGUGCGCGGAUGGAUAUCAAUUGUCUCGUUGCCUCGAGCGAGCCUCUUGUCUGCCAAUAGUCGUGCUGCGCUGUCGUCCCGCUUUUGGCAUCCGCGAAUUACGUCUCACCUGAUUCCCGAGGUCAGCGUGUUUUUAUCCAAUGAACACUUUUACCGUGAGCGAAGAUGACAAGUGCGUGGAUUAUUACUUGACAAGUCGGAAAUGAACUCACUCGGAUCGGCAUGGACUAAGAGAAGACACCGAACAGCUACGACUUGUAGGAUGCGAUUAGGAAUUUCGUGGGGGAAAAAAAUAAAAAAGAAAAUGCGAGCGCCUUUGCGAAACCCGAUGUGUCAUGUAGGUACUUCUAUUUUGUUAGUCAAUAGCCGAAAACGACUUUCAUCCGAGUUAAACUCCGGUUCGAGACGCCAUUUUAGGUGAUGACGCGUCUGCUAUAAGCAGGACAAAUCGUGCAUGAUUAAAAUUUGACUUGCACUCGGAUAUUUAGACAAUUGGUCUUGUGCAAGCGUGAGGACAUCGCUCUCCUCUUCCGUCGUUAUGGAAGCUUCGUUUUGGAAUACCCGACUAGCAAUGCAGGACUACGGUAAUGAUACACGGGCUUCGGUUAUCGAGCACUGGCAUCGCACGAUUAGAACGUAUAAUUGUUAGAUACAGGUUGCAGCUGCUCUCGCCUUCUCUCCUAAGGAAGGUGGAAAAUCGAGUAAGAAUUUUAUCUGGUAAACGGCUGACCGUCGCGUCCCAAUAAGUCUCGGUUUAUUAUGGAAGUAUUCACGCGGCCAUAUCAAUUGUGAACCUUCCCUCCUUGGUCCGCGUAUUCCGCGACAUUCGUUCAAAAUCCGCUUCGUUGCGCCUUUCGUGAAUACGCAGAUUCGUCGCACUGUUACGCUGGGUAUAAAGGACGCAGAGAGGAAAUAUACACAUUUGGUUUUCACGUCUCUUUCUCUCUCUCUAUAUAUAUAUACAUACAUAUAUUAUGUUUCGAUUUUUUAUUUAACGAAGCGUUAGAGGAGUAGAGUGCAAAUCAUCCUAACGACGAUCUUUGGCGCGUUUUCUUGUCCUUGUCGUCCCCGAUGCGUGUAUCAUUAAUGGCUUACGCAAUAUCGUAUGUACAUUACAUCAUGUUGCAUCACACGCUCUCUCGGGUCCUGGCUAUCGGUUUGCCUUGCGCGUUUUUAUUGUGUGUCGACUUGAAGCUACGUGGCCGUGUUUUCUUUUUUUUUCUCUGCUUCUGGUUGGAUCUAAUUGAGGUUCUGACAUUUUGAUAGGGCUCAAGCUUUAAGCCAGCUUCGCUUAUCGCGACGCAAAGUAAUGAUUGUAUACGGUUUCGUUGCUGCGCGACUGUGUCUCACUUUUGACGCCUAGCCGAGCAUUGCGGAACAAAUGAACGAAGGUUCGGUGGUUUUUUAACGAAGGCCCUAUUCGUGUAUGUGUACGUAUACUUGUACGAUACUCCGCUCUGUACAGCUGAUUUCGUUCUUACGCGGCGCAGCCUUGAUUCGCACUCUUGAAAUUUCCGAGCCUGGUAUUUCUGGGCUCCUUUGAACGGCACUGAAAUCGAACUCGCAUCCUUCAUUUGAUUUCCUGCCGUAUGUAUCGUGCGAAUCGCUUUGAUCUCUUGGCUCGAACGAUCCGAGGAAUACGCAAAUCGCACGCUACCACCACGACAUCGUCCAAGUACUCGUUAUCAUUAAAGUGUAUAGUUUUCGAGCGAGAUUAAAUAAACCCCCAUGAUUUUAAA